UGCAGUCGACGGCAGCACGGGUGCUUGCACCUGGUGGCGAGUGGCGAACGGGUGAGUAAUACAUCGGAACAUGUCCAGUAGUGGGGGAUAGCCCGGCGAAAGCCGGAUUAAUACCGCAUACGAUCUKUGGAUGAAAGCGGGGGAYCKYMRGRCCUCGCGCUAUUGGGGUGGCCGAUGGCGGAUUAGCUAGUUGGUGGGGUAAAGGCCYACCAAGGCGACGAUCCGUAGCUGGUCUGAGAGGACGACCAGCCACACUGGGACUGAGACACGGCCCAGACUCCUACGGGAGGCAGCAGUGGGGAAUUUUGGACAAUGGGCGAAAGCCUGAUCCAGCAAUGCCGCGUGUGUGAAGAAGGCCUUCGGGUUGUAAAGCACUUUUGUCCGGAAAGAAAUCCUGGUGGCUAAUAUCCGCCGGGGAUGACGGUACCGGAAGAAUAAGCACCGGCUAACUACGUGCCAGCAGCCGCGGUAAUACGUAGGGUGCGAGCGUUAAUCGGAAUUACUGGGCGUAAAGCGUGCGCAGGCGGUGAUGUAAG
rnacentral:rRNA from 1 species